rnacentral:lncRNA from 1 species
CAGAAACCCUGUGGGAGAGCAGCUCAGUCCAGCGUGAAGGCGUCUUUGGGAACCCCACCUAGAGGCUGUACCCUUUUCUCGGCCUGUGGCCAGUCACCCACUUAGAGCCUACUGCCAUGAAGGCAGCCCUGACUCUCCAUGCCUGCUGCCACAGGGAGAUCCAUGGAGCACCCUGGGGCAGACAGAAAGCCCCUAGGGGGGCCUCAGGGGACCCCUGGCUCUCUCAGGGUCCCAUUCAAGUUUCUGGGCUAGUCCCAGCACUAAGCUGGGUGCUGGGCAGGGUGGCAGUGUGAUGGUGGGGUUAGCAAGAGGUGCAGCUCAGGGAAGCUGCGAGCAGCCUUGGCUGCUUCCUUGGAUUCCCUUUCUCCAUAGGUUCCCAGAAGGCCAUGGCUCCAACCCCUGCUCUCAUCCUUGGAACCACAGUCCCAGGGUGAAGGGAGGCAGCUUCAGUCCUGGGGCCAAUAGCACAUCCGAGGAAAUCAGGGCCCCUGGAACACAGCCUGCGGGACUGGGGGCACAUCUGCUGCCCAAUCCAGAGCUUGAAUGCUCCUGGUGAGAAAGGAUAACAAACAGCACUUCCCCAUGGCAGAUGCUUCACAGUCCAAGACUCGGGGCCUUGAAUGGUGAGUCACAAACUUUGCAAAACGCGUGGGCCAUGACAGCCCCAGAGGCCAACAGCAGGUCCACGGCCGAGCCACAGGAGUCCUGUGGCACAGGAGUCAGGGCCCAAGGAGCAC